rnacentral:rRNA from 1 species
CGCCGUAAACGAUGUCGAUUUGGAGGUUGUGCCCUUGAGGCGUGGCUUCCGGAGCUAACGCGUUAAAUCGACCGCCUGGGGAGUACGGCCGCAAGGUUAAAACUCAAAUGAAUUGACGGGGGCCCGCACAAGCGGUGGAGCAUGUGGUUUAAUUCGAUGCAACGCGAAGAACCUUACCUGGUCUUGACAUCCACAGAACUUAGCAGAGAUGGAUUGGUGCCUUCGGGAACUGUGAGACAGGUGCUGCAUGGCUGUCGUCAGCUCGUGUUGUGAAAUGUUGGGUUAAGUCCCGCAACGAGCGCAACCCUUAUCCUUUGUUGCCAGCGGUUAGGCCGGGAACUCAAAGGAGACUGCCAGUGAUAAACUGGAGGAAGGUGGGGAUGACGUCAAGUCAUCAUGGCCCUUACGACCAGGGCUACACACGUGCUACAAUGGCGCAUACAAAGAGAAGCGACCUCGCGAGAGCAAGCGGACCUCAUAAAGUGCGUCGUAGUCCGGAUUGGAGUCUGCAACUCGACUCCAUGAAGUCGGAAUCGCUAGUAAUCGUAGAUCAGAAUGCUACGGUGAAUACGUUCCCGGGCCUUGUACACACCGCCCGUCACACCAUGGGAGUGGGUUGCAAAAGAAGUAGG